rnacentral:lncRNA from 1 species
CCCGUUCAUGCGAGGUGGAUCAACGAGGAUGCAAGCCGUAGAAGCCUUAGUCCGGUCAGUACGAGACACUCAAUAGUAUUAGUAUCAUGAUUGGUUAGGGGCUUCAAAGUAAUUAUCACCCGUUAUCUCAAGAGAAUGGUGCCAUCUCAAAAUGACCAACGCGAUCCGUGACCGGUUGGGCAAUGAUAUUGGGCCCAACGGAUCUUUUCUCUGGUUUUCAUUUCGGUUUCAGUUGGAGCGCCUUCACCCCAACCCUCUAACAUUAGCCAGCAUCGACUUCUUUGCCAAGCCUGAAAUGCCUAUUUCAACCGUCUUCUUUUGCAUUGUGAGUUAUUUGAUCACGAAAAGGUCUUAUCUUAUCUUGUAUGCUUAGUUUCUUAAAGGGGGGACAUUAUGAUCCCCAAAAUGAUCUAGAAGUGAAUACAAAGCUUACUAUUUUUCUCUUGGACAACACUUGCAAGAAAUACAA